rnacentral:rRNA from 1 species
AGAUUGAACGCUGGCGGCAGGCCUAACACAUGCAAGUCGAGCGGCAGCACGGGUACUUGUACCUGGUGGCGAGCGGCGGACGGGUGAGUAAUGCCUAGGAAUCUGCCUGAUAGUGGGGGAUAACGUUCGGAAACGGACGCUAAUACCGCAUACGUCCUACGGGAGAAAGUGGGGGAUCUUCGGACCUCACGCUAUCAGAUGAGCCUAGGUCGGAUUAGCUAGUUGGUAGGGUAAAGGCCUACCAAGGCUACGAUCCGUAACUGGUCUGAGAGGAUGAUCAGUCACACUGGAACUGAGACACGGUCCAGACUCCUACGGGAGCAGCAGUGGGGGAAUAGUUGGACAAUGGG